rnacentral:misc_RNA from 1 species
GAUGAAGAACGCAGCGAAAUGCGAUAAGUAAUGUGAAUUGCAGAAUUCAGUGAAUCAUCGAAUCUUUGAACGCACAUUGCGCCCGCCAGUAUUCUGGCGGGCAUGCCCGUUUCAGAAUCAUUUAAUCAUCUCAUAGCCCUUGGGUUGUGGAUGUUGGAUGUCUUUUGAACCUUCUCCUUGUGGGAGGGUGCAAUCAUCUGAAAUGUGAUUGUACGUGGCCUUGGCUAACCUGGUUGGCUGGCUUACUUGGUGCAACAGAUUAUUCAUCUUUACGCCUAGUGGCUGGACAAACAGAGCCUUGAUCUAUGCGUACACCCAAGCUUUACACAGAUGGCAUCAGCUGUCUGAUAACUUGGUCUGAAAUCGGGCAAGAAAACCCGCUGAACUUAAGCAUAUCAAUAAGCGGAGGA